GGUUUCUUAGUGUAGUGGUUAUCACAUCUCCUUUACACGGAGAAGGUCGUGGGAUCGAUCCCCACAGAAACCA